rnacentral:rRNA from 1 species
GACGAACGCUGGCGGCGUGCUUAACACAUGCAAGUCGAACGGAAAGGCCCUGCUUUUGUGGGGUGCUCGAGUGGCGAACGGGUGAGUAACACGUGAGUAACCUGCCCUUGACUUUGGGAUAACUUCAGGAAACUGGGGCUAAUACCGGAUAGGAGCUCCUGCUGCAUGGUGGGGGUUGGAAAGUUUCGGCGGUUGGGGAUGGACUCGCGGCUUAUCAGCUUGUUGGUGGGGUAGUGGCUUACCAAGGCUUUGACGGGUAGCCGGCCUGAGAGGGUGACCGGCCACAUUGGGACUGAGAUACGGCCCAGACUCCUACGGGAGGCAGCAGUGGGGAAUAUUGCACAAUGGGCGGAAGCCUGAUGCAGCAACGCCGCGUGCGGGAUGACGGCCUUCGGGUUGUAAACCGCUUUCGCCUGUGACGAAGCGUGAGUGACGGUAAUGGGUAAAGAAGCACCGGCUAACUACGUGCCAGCAGCCGCGGUGAUACGUAGGGUGCGAGCGUUGUCCGGAUUUAUUGGGCGUAAAGGGCUCGUAGGUGGUUGAUCGCGUCGGAAGUGUAAUCUUGGGGCUUAACCCUGAGCGUGCUUUCGAUACGGGUUGACUUGAGGAAGGUAGGGGAGAAUGGAAUUCCUGGUGGAGCGGUGGAAUGCGCAGAUAUCAGGAGGAACACCAGUGGCGAAGGCGGUUCUCUGGGCCUUUCCUGACGCUGAGGAGCGAAAGCGUGGGGAGCGAACAGGCUUAGAUACCCUGGUAGUCCACGCUGUAAACGGUGGGUACUAGGUGUGGGGUCCAUUCCACGGGUUCCGUGCCGUAGCUAACGCUUUAAGUACCCCGCCUGGGGAGUACGGCCGCCAGGCUAAAACUCAAAGGAAUUGACGGGGCCCCGCACAAGCGGCGGAGCAUGCGGAUUAAUUCGAUGCAACGCGGAGGACCUUACCUGGGUUUGACAUGGAUCGGGAGUGCUCAGAGAUGGGUGUGCCUCUUUUGGGGUCGGUUCACAGGUGGUGCAUGGCUGUCGUCAGCUCGUGUCGUGAGAUGUUGGGUUAAGUCCCGCAACGAGCGCAACCCUUGUUCAUUGUUGCCAGCCCGUUAUGGUGGGGACUCAGUGGAGACCGCCGGGGUCAACUCGGAGGAAGGUGGGGAUGACGUCAAGUCUAUCAUGCCCCUUAUGUCCAGGGCUUCACGCAUGCUACAAUGGCUGGUACAGAGAGUGGCGAGCCUGUGAGGGUGAGCGAAUCUUGGAAAGCCGGUUCUCAAGUUCGGAUUGGGGUUUGCAACUCGACCUCAUGAAGUUGGAGUCGCUAGUAAUCGCAGAUCAGCAACGCUGCGGUGAAUACGUUCCCGGG